rnacentral:rRNA from 1 species
GACGAACGCUGGCGGCGUGCCUAAUACAUGCAAGUUGAGCGAUGAAGCUUGGUGCUUGCCCCAAUUUGAAGAGCAGCGAACGGGUGAGUAACGCGUGGGGAAUCUGCCUUUGAGCGGGGGACAACAUUUGGAAACGAAUGCUAAUACCGCAUAACAACUUUAAACAUAAGUUUUAAGUUUGAAAGAUGCAAUUGCAUCACUCAAAGAUGAUCCCGCGUUGUAUUAGCUAGUUGGUGAGGUAAAGGCUCACCAAGGCGAUGAUACAUAGCCGACCUGAGAGGGUGAUCGGCCACAUUGGGACUGAGACACGGCCCAAACUCCUACGGGAGGCAGCAGUAGGGAAUCUUCGGCAAUGGACGAAAGUCUGACCGAGCAACGCCGCGUGAGUGAAGAAGGGUUUCGGAUCGUAAAACUCUGUUGGUAGAGAAGAACGUUGGUGAGAGUGGAAAGCUCAUAAAGUGACGGUAACUACCCAGAAAGGGACGGCUAACUACGUG